CGGUGUCGAUGAUGUCGCUUUUACCUACAUUGUUUGAUUCUCCCUGAGAAAAAUUCCAACUCCUGAGACACCU